rnacentral:sRNA from 1 species
CUGCCAUCCUAAAACCCAAUUUAAAAAUGUGACACAGGGCUGGGCAAGGUGGUCUAUAAUCCCAGCACUUUGGGAGGUCAAGGUGGGUGGAUCACUUGAGGCUAGGAGUUCGAGACCAGCCUGGCCAACAUGGCGAAACCCUGUCUCUACUGAAAAUACAAAAAAUUACAAGCUGGGCUUGGGGCGCACACCUGUAAUCCCAGCUACUUGGGAGGCUGAGGCAGGAGAAUCGCUUGAACCUGGGAGGCGGUUGCAGUGAGCUGGGAUCACGCCACUGCACUACAGCCUGGGCAACAGUACACAACUCUGUCUCAAACAACAACAACAACAACAAAAAAACGACGUGGCCCGCCUGGGGGGAACAUACAUUACACAGAAUAUAAAGGUACACAUUUCUUUUUCAUUCUGUUUUAUGCAGCAAAUCAUUCGUUGGCAUCUUCUCUGUGAUGGGCAGCUUGCUAAGAUUAGAUUCAGGCCCCUUAGCUUCAUUUCCAACUAAGCCCACGCUAUCAACCAAGCCAAACAGAGGAAAUCAGUUUGGGUUGAAUUCUUUGCUGGAGACAAAGAAUCUACAUUCCUGUGUAGAUAAUGCUGUGUUUGCUCUGUGCAGACACAGAUGGAAGGGAAGAGGGAGACAGUGUGGGGACGGAGACAACAGGAAGAGCAGGAGCCGCCAAGGGCCAUGUCCUCACCAUGCUUAGUCAUGCGCUCAGCUGGCAGGGCAGCCAUGAGACGUGUGUGCGAGAGGCGGCGAUGGGUGGAGGGAACCCCCACACCCUUCCUGAGGAGCGGGGGCAGCCUGGCUGCGGCUAUGGAGUGGCGGCUGCUUCACCGCUUCCUUCUUGCCUGCAGCUCCUACUGAAGCCCAAGUUCAGCGGCGUGGAGAAGAUCAAGACCAUCGGCAGCACGUACAUGGCAGCUGCAGGGCUCAGCGUCGCCUCAGGGCACGAGAACCAGGAGCUGGAGCGGCAGCAUGCCCACAUUGGUGUCAUGGUGGAGUUCAGCAUCGCCCUGAUGAGUAAGCUGGACGGCAUCAACAGGCACUCCUUCAACUCCUUCCGCCUCCGCGUCGGCAUAAACCAUGGGCCUGUGAUUGCUGGAGUGAUUGGGGCCCGAAAACCUCAGUAUGACAUCUGGGGAAACACUGUCAACGUGGCCAGCCGAAUGGAAAGCACUGGAGAACUUGGGAAAAUCCAGGUUACCGAGGAGACCUGCACCAUCCUCCAGGGCCUCGGGUACUCUUGUGAAUGCCGUGGCCUGAUCAACGUCAAAGGCAAAGGCGAGCUGAGGACUUACUUUGUCUGUACAGACACUGCCAAGUUUCAGGGGCUGGGGCUGAACUGAGGGCUCCUGCUGGAUUCCGAAAAGGCUGUGAAGCCAGUCUCCUUCCCUGAAGCAAGCCCAGGAGAAGACUCCGCCCCACGCCAAUCCCAAAGGCAUGCAGAUGGCUGUGCAUGUUGGCUUCUUUGGACCUGCACUGGAGGAUUUCUCAGACACAUGCACCAGAUUCUGGCUCGAAGCAGCCACUGAGCCAUAAUGCGCAGGGGAGGCCAGAACCUCUGUGCCUGGUCUGUA